rnacentral:rRNA from 1 species
UGCCAGCCGCCGCGGUAAUACGGAGGGGGUUAGCGUUGUUCGGAAUUACUGGGCGUAAAGCGCACGUAGGCGGUCUUGUCAGUCAGGUGAAAUCCCAGGGCUCAACCCUGGAACUGCCUCAUAAACUAUCAGUCUAGAGUUCGAGAGAGGUGAGUGGAAUUCCGAGUGUAGAGGUGAAAUUCGUAGAUAUUCGGAGGAACACCAGUGGCGAAGGCGGCUCACUGGCUCGAUACUGACGCUGAGGUGCGAAAGUGUGGGGAGCAAACAGGAUUAGAUA